AGUGAACGCUGGCGGUAGGCCUAACACAUGCAAGUCGAACGGCAGCACAGUAAGAGCUUGCUCUUACGGGUGGCGAGUGGCGGACGGGUGAGGAAUACAUCGGAAUCUACUUUUUCGUGGGGGAUAACGUAGGGAAACUUACGCUAAUACCGCAUACGACCUACGGGUGAAAGCAUGGGAUCUUCGGACCUUGCGCGAUUGAAUGAGCCGAUGUCGGAUUAGCUAGUUGGCGGGGUAAAGGCCCACCAAGGCGACGAUCCGUAGCUGGUCUGAGAGGAUGAUCAGCCACACUGGAGCUGAGACACGGUCCAGACUCCUACGGGAGGCAGCAGUGGGGAAUAUUGGACAAUGGGCGCAAGCCUGAUCCAGCCAUACCGCGUGGGUGAAGAAGGCCUUCGGGUUGUAAAGCCCUUUUGUUGGGAAAGAAAAGCAGCAGGUUAAUACCCCGCUGUUCUGACGGUACCCAAAGAAUAAGCACCGGCUAACUUCGUG
rnacentral:rRNA from 1 species